AAAAAGGAAUUGAAAGAUGAAAACAAAAAAGAAAGAAGAAUAUAAACGAGAAAGAAACGCAACCACCAACUACAAACCCGUUCUCUCUUCUUCUUCGUCUUUCUACUUUUGUGUGUCUCUAUAGAGAGAGAGAAUGGAGAAGAGAGAGAUAGAAA
rnacentral:sRNA from 1 species